CCUACGGGUGGCUGCAGUAGGGAAUAUUGGUCAAUGGAUGCAAGUCUGAACCAGCCAUGCCGCGUGCAGGAAGAAGGCGUUAUGCGUUGUAAACUGCUUUUGCCAGGGGAUAAAAUUUCCUUGCGAGGAACAUUGAAGGUACCUGGUGAAUAAGCCACGGCUAACUACGUGCCAGCAGCCGCGGUAAUACGUAGGUGGCAAGCGUUGUCCGGAUUUAUUGGGUUUAAAGGGUGCGUAGGCGGCCCUGUAAGUCAGUGCUGAAAUAUCCCGGCUUA
rnacentral:rRNA from 1 species